rnacentral:rRNA from 1 species
AUGGAUCCGACGGAGAUACUGAACGUGAGAUUCCAUUUUGGUGGCGAGUUCAUCAGUAUGGGGCCAAAUUUGCAAUAUGUUGGGGGGGAUGAUGAGAUGUCAGAGAUUGAGAGGGAUAAGUUGUCACUGCAGGAGGUGAAAGGGUUUCUGAAAGAUCAUAUGCAGUUGAAGGAAUCAAUGAAAUUUUAUUUUCAGAUACCUGGGAAAUCAAUGGAAGAUGGCUUGAUGUUUCUGAAUGAUGACAGUAAAUGUGUCCAGAUGGGAGAGUACACUGAUGUGGGAGGAGUAGCUGACAUAUAUGUUGAGUAUCAUGGAGAGGAGGACAGUGAGCAUAGUAGCAGUGGGAGUGAUUUUGAAAAUGAUGAGAUGAUGGAGGUACUUGAUGCUGAUGAUGAACCUGACAUUGUCAUCACAGCAGAGCAUGUUAUGGUUCCUGAUGAUACUGGUGUGAUCACUCAAGUAAUUUGCCAGUUCAUGGAAGAAGAAGGCAAGUGGAUGCAGAGCAAGUGGAAGCAGAGCAAGUGGUAG